rnacentral:rRNA from 1 species
UGACAUCCUGCCUUUGAAGAGGUGGAGAUCCUAAACAAAAAGAACGCAAGACCUAGCACUUGAAGAGGGGCCCGCGUCUGAUUAGCUAGUUGGUGAGGUAACGGCUCACCAAGGCUUCGAUCAGUAUCCGGCCUGAGAGGGCGGACGGACACACUGGGACUGAGACACGGCCCAGACUCCUACGGGAGGCAGCAGUGGGGAAUUGUUCGCAAUGGGCGCAAGCCUGACGACGCAACGCCGCGUGGAGGAUGAAGACCUUC